UACGAAGGGGGCUAGCGUUGCUCGGAAUCACUGGGCGUAAAGCGCACGUAGGCGGACUCUUAAGUCAGGGGUGAAAUCCUGGAGCUCAACUCCAGAACUGCCUUUGAUACUGGGAGUCUUGAGUUCGGGAGAGGUGAGUGGAACUGCGAGUGUAGAGGUGAAAUUCGUAGAUAUUCGCAAGAACACCAGUGGCGAAGGUGGCUCACUGGCCCGAUACUGACGCUGAGGUGCGAAAGCGUGGGGAGCGAACAGG
rnacentral:rRNA from 1 species